ACAUGCAGUCGAGCGAACUGAUUAGAAGCUUGCUUCUAUGACGUUAGCGGCGGACGGGUGAGUAACACGUGGGCAACCUGCCUGUAAGACUGGGAUAACUUCGGGAAACCGAAGCUAAUACCGGAUAGGAUCUUCUCCUUCAUGGGAGAUGAUUGAAAGAUGGUUUCGGCUAUCACUUACAGAUGGGCCCGCGGUGCAUUAGCUAGUUGGUGAGGUAACGGCUCACCAAGGCAACGAUGCAUAGCCGACCUGAGAGGGUGAUCGGCCACACUGGGACUGAGACACGGCCCAGACUCCUACGGGAGGCAGCAGUAGGGAAUCUUCCGCAAUGGACGAAAGUCUGACGGAGCAACGCCGCGUGAGUGAUGAAGGCUUUCGGGUCGUAAAACUCUGUUGUUAGGGAAGAACAAGUACGAGAGUAACUGCUUGUACCUUGACGGUACCUAACCAGAAAGCCACGGCUAACUACGUGCCAGCAGCCGCGGUAAUACGUAGGUGGCAAGCGUUAUCCGGAAUUAUUGGGCGUAAAGCGCGCGCAGGCGGUUUCUUAAGUCUGAUGUGAAAGCCCACGGCUCAACCGUGGAGGGUCAUUGGAAACUGGGGAACUUGAGUGCAGAAGAGAAAAGCGGAAUUCCACGUGUAGCG
rnacentral:rRNA from 2 species